rnacentral:rRNA from 1 species
AUUGAACGCUGGCGGCAGGCCUAACACAUGCAAGUCGAACGAGUGGCGGACGGGUGAGUAAUGUCUGGGAAACUGCCUGAUGGAGGGGGAUAACUACUGGAAACGGUAGCUAAUACCGCAUACCAGCGGAUGUGCCCAGAUGGGUUUAGCUAGGAGGUGGGGUAAAGUCUAACCUGGGCGACGAUCCCUAGCGGGUCUGAGAGGAUGACCAGCCACAGUGGAACUGAGACACGGUCCAGACUCCUACGUGACGCAGCAGUGGGGAAUAUUGCACAAUUGGCGCAAGCCUGAUGCAGCCAUGCCGCGUGUAUGAAGAAGGCCUUCGGGGUGUAAAGUACUUUCAGCGGGGAGGCGUUACCCGCAGAAGAAGCACCGGCUAACUCCGUGCCAGCAGCCGCGGUAAUAC